GAUGAACGCUGGCGGCGUGCCUAAUACAUGCAAGUCGAGCGAAUGGAUUAAGAGCUUGCUCUUAUGAAGUUAGCGGCGGACGGGUGAGUAACACGUGGGUAACCUGCCCAUAAGACUGGGAUAACUCCGGGAAACCGGGGCUAAUACCGGAUAGCAUUUUGAACCGCAUGGUUCGAAAUUGAAAGGCGGCUUCGGCUGUCACUUAUGGAUGGACCCGGGUCGCAUUAGCUAGUUGGUGAGGUAACGGCUCACCAAGGCCACGAUGCGUAGCCGCCCUGAGAGGGGAAUAGGACACACUGGGACAGAGACACGGCCCAGACUCCUACGGGAGGCAGCAGUAGGGAAUCUUCGGCAAUGGACGAAAGUCUGACGGAGCAACGCCGCGUGAGUGAUGAAGGCUUUCGGGUCGUAAAACUCUGUUGUUAGGGAAGAACAAGUGCUAGUUGAAUAAGCUGGCACCUUGACGGUACCUAACCAGAAAGCCACGGCUAACUACGUGCCAGCAGCCGCCGUAA
rnacentral:rRNA from 1 species